GACGAACGCUGGCGGCGUGCCUAAUACAUGCAAGUCGAACGCAGUGGGGACGGGUGAGUAACACGUGGGUAACCUCCCAUCAGAGGGGAUAACACUUGGAAACAGGUGCUAAACCGAUACUGAUGGAUGGACCCGCGGUGCAUUAGCUAGUUGGUGGGGUAACGGCUCACCAAGGCCACGAUGCAUAGCCGGCCUGAGAGGGUGAUCAGCCACACUGGGACUGAGACACGGCCCAGACUCCUACGGGAGGCAGCAGUAGGGAAUCUUCGGCAAUGGGCGAAAGUCUGACCGAGCAACGCCGCGUGAAUGAAGAAGGUUUUCGGAUCGUAAAACUCUGUUGUUGGAGAGGCGGUAUCUAACCAGAAAGCAACGGCUAACUACGUGCCAGCAGCCGCGGUAAUAC
rnacentral:rRNA from 1 species